rnacentral:rRNA from 1 species
UACGUAGGGGGCAAGCGUUGUCCGGAAUCAUUGGGCGUAAAGCGCACGUAGGCGGCCCGGUAAGUCCGUUGUGAAAGUCAGAGGCUCAACCUCUGGAGGCCAAUGGAUACUGCCGGGCUAGAGUCCGGAAGAGGCGAGUGGAAUUCCUGGUGUAGCGGUGGAAUGCGCAGAUAUCAGGAGGAACACCGAUAGCGAAGGCAGCUCGCUGGGACGGUACUGACGCUGAGGCGCGAAAGCGUGGGGAGCGAACAGG